rnacentral:lncRNA from 1 species
CCGCUCGAGGCCUAGUUCUCUGUGUGCUACCGUGAUAGAACCAAGCCCAGCUCUUGACAUCGGGAGAAAGGACUGCUCAACUUUCUCAGAAAUCAGCAUUUCCCCUAACUGUUUCACUGAUCAGAAAGUAAUGUACCCUGGCCUAGUAACAAUGAGAUCCCAGGUGAGUAGGAGUUUCUUCUUAGUCUCCAGAAAUGCCAUCUUAUGGCAGGAAUGUUUUCUGUUAUCCUGGAAGUAUUGUUUAGGUACCUAAGGCCCAGCUGUUUUGCCCCCAGGAGACAGAGAGUGUUCUUAACUUAAUAACACCAUUUCAC